rnacentral:rRNA from 1 species
AACAGGAUUAGAUACCCUGGUAGUCCACGCCGUAAACGAUGUCGAUUUGGAGGUUGUGCCCUUGAGGCGUGGCUUCCGGAGCUAACGCGUUAAAUCGACCGCCUGGGGAGUACGGCCGCAAGGUUAAAACUCAAAUGAAUUGACGGGGGCCCGCACAAGCGGUGGAGCAUGUGGUUUAAUUCGAUGCAACGCGAAGAACCUUACCUGGUCUUGACAUCCACAGAACUUUCCAGAGAUGGAUUGGUGCCUUCGGGAACUGUGAGACAGGUGCUGCAUGGCUGUCGUCAGCUCGUGUUGUGAAAUGUUGGGUUAAGUCCCGCAACGAGCGCAACCCUUAUCCUUUGUUGCCAGCGGUUCGGCCGGGAACUCAAAGGAGACUGCCAGUGAUAAACUGGAGGAAGGUGGGGAUGACGUCAAGUCAUCAUGGCCCUUACGACCAGGGCUACACACGUGCUACAAUGGCAUAUACAAAGAGAAGCGACCUCGCGAGAGCAAGCGGACCUCAUAAAGUAUGUCGUAGUCCGGAUUGGAGUCUGCAACUCGACUCCAUGAAGUCGGAAUCGCUAGUAAUCGUAGAUCAGAAUGCUACGGUGAAUACGUUCCCGGG